ensembl:lncRNA
GGCUUCUCGGAGGAAGCGCGCGGCACACACCUAAGAACUGGUCCACCAAAGCGUGGGAGGCGGGGCGCUCUCCAUCACUUCCCGUCUCCCAUUGGCUGAGGGUCGCCCCAAGUGCGUUACUCCACCUCACUUCCGGGAGGCGUGGCUCUCCGUGGGCGGGAAGCGGAGGAUGUCUCCAUGCACCCUCGAGGUGGAGUGGUGCCCGCCUCACGGCUUGGCUGAGGUAGGUGGGCCCAGAGAGGCUGGUGUAAGGCCCCAUGAGCCCCUGCUCUCACCUCCCGACUCUUGCUCUCUUACCUGUGCUCAUCACUGGGUCCAUCCUCAACCCAGCAGCCCGAUAUUUGAUGGUGUAAAUUCCCACCCCACCCCCAGGUUUAAAUGCUUCAAUGGACUCCCUUUUCUCUUGGGAUAAAGACAAAAUUACUUAAAAGGACCUGUGUGACCCGUUGUGGUCUGGCCUCUGCCCGCCUCUCCAGCCUCAUGCUGUACCUGCUUCCUCCUAGCUGUCUGCACUCCUACUAUCCUGGCCUUUUGGCAAAUCCUUGCCCUUCUCAUACACUGGUCCUGCCCCAGGACCUUUGCACACGCUCCACUCGUUAUGCCAAAUGCUCUUGGGCCCAGUUAACUCCUUCUCAUCCUUGAGGUCUCAGUUCAAACUGAUCUCAGAUCACUUUGCUUCCUCCAGGAAGCCCUCCGUGACCUCCCAGACCAUGCCAGCUUCCCUCAUUAUCUCCUCUCCUAGCUCCCCUACCUCUCCUUUCCAAGCCUUGGAAUGGUUGGGACUUUAGAUUCAUCCUUGCAGUCCUUUGAUUAGCAUAUGUCCCUCACUGCCAUCAGCUCCAGGAAGGUAGAGAAUGUACCUAUUUCUGCUUGCUCCUCUUUCCCCAGUACGAAUCCCAGCGCCUGGCAAAUAGUGGGCAGUCCAUAAAUAUUUGUGGAAUGAGUGUGCGAGGCCCUUCUUAGCUCCUCCUCCAGGCGUCCACCCUUCCCCAGUUGGCUCCUAUUGGGCCUUGCAGCUGCUCUUCCCUGGGAACAGCCACACUGACAAGGCGUGCAUCUUAAGCUCUCCAGAGGGUCUACCCUUCCGGGUUUGCUAUUAGUGCAACAUAAACAGCCCAGGUUACAUAGUUACACCCACUUUAGUCCCAGUUCUGUCACUCGGUGACUGUAUGACCUUGGGCAAGGGACCAACCCCUCCUCAACAUCUGUAAGAUAGAAGGGGUGCAAUGCCUGCAGAGCCCCCGGCACACAGCCCGCACACAAUGAUGUGCCGUUUCCCUUCCAACCUCCUGCUCCAUCUUCCCGUUCCCAGGACCGCAGCCGGGGAGGGGAAUGCAGAGAGUCUGCAGAGCUGGGGGACGUGCCUGGGGAUCUCGAGGGGCUCUCUUUUCACUCCCUCCGCUAGGCCAUCGAUUGCUGCAACACCUGCAAUUUUUGCUUCUUAAAAAAAAUCAAUACUCCAUUAGCUAACACCUUUUGUGGACUGUCUAACGCAGGCCACUGAGGGGCAGGAGGGUGUGGGAUCCCUGGGGCUGCGGGACCAGAACCGAAGCCUGGCUCUCACAGAUGUAGCCCAUCAAUGGGGCGCGAGGAGCUGACGGGCACUGGUGAGCCCCAGCUGCUUGUGAUGUCCCACCCCAGCUCCCCUCUGCCGGGAACUCUUGCCGGCGACAAAGAGAUAGCCGUGGAGUGAAACUUGGAAGGAAUUCAUUCGUUCAACAAAUAUCGAUUGAGCUCCUGCUCUGAAGGGGAGUGGAUUUGGGGCGGGUUUGGAUCCUGGACCAUCCUUGCUCUGCCGAGUAUCUAUUCUGUUCCUGCUGUGUGUCUGACGUACAGUAGGCGCCGGCUGAGUAGGUGCUGAAUGAUGAGAUGCAUUUUGCAAUGAUUGGUGAGGCAUGUCGCUUCUCUGAACCUCAGUUCUUCAUCUCUGAAAUGGGCAUAAUGAUAUCCUGUCCCCACGGGGUCACUAGCAGAUGCUGCAAAUGAUGUGCCGAGCUGGCGCACCCUGGAGUCUCGACAAGCUUUGACCGUGACGGGAUUUGCCAUCCACUCUGACUAGCGGAGAGAACUGUUUCCAUCUGGGAUCGAAUUCUCCCUGCGCCUCAUUGCUUCUGCGCCCAGUAAUCUGAAUUGUUUCUUCUCUUCUCUAAUUGUAUCCAUUUGCUUUUCUCUUUCUUUUGUUACAUAAGCUGAGCUAUUAGACUCGUUGGCUGUGAAGGUUGAAUUCUUUUCUAAUUAUAAGAAAAAUGGCUCUUCCUUCCUUCCAUUAGUCCUAAUGGAAAUUAACUGCAUAAUUCUCCCAGCUUUGGGGUAAAUCUCUAGGCCUCCGGCAGCAUUGCUGAAUGCAGGCUUUGCCGGGAAGUCGGCGGGCAUCCCUCCGCCACCUGGAGGCUGGUGCCGUGGUUUUGGAGUUGGGUAGACCCGAGUUUGCAUCCAGGAGUGAGCUGUGUGACCUGGGGCAGGCUGUCUCACCUUCCUGGCAUCAGUUUCUUCAUCUGUAGUGUGGGCCCGAUGAGCCUCGCCACGCGACGUUGCUGUGCGGUUCUGUGCUGUUCCAGACUAUGGAGGCUGAGUCUUGAUGGCACAGCUGCCUUCUUUCUUGCCCCGCCUGUCACAGGCUGCCUUCCUGUGAUGCCACACACCUGGGAGGGGGCGGCUCAUUCUCCUGGACAUUCAGAUGUGUCCCGUGGAGUCUGCUCUCAGGACAGCCAGACGGACACCAAACAAUGAUGGGACAAUUUUCCUAGACGCCCCUCCCCGCUCCAAGGCGUCUGGAUGGAAGAUACGGGUGGUGAUGUCUGGACGUGACUCAGACCUGUGAGCUUUCUUCAGCGCUUUCCCUAGGCUGUGGUGUCUCCCCAAGGGCAUCUUUUUCUCCUGCCAUAAUGAGCAUCCAAGAAGAGAAGCUGGAGAUUCAGGGACACGUCUGAGAGACGGCUGUAUGGGCCCAACAGCUCAUUCCUCUCCUGUCGGCUCCCAACAAAACACAGGAGGGAGAGAAGGCUCCGUCAGCUCUGAAGCUGAGUCGGGGGAGGAGAAGGGGCGGUGGGCGUGGCGGGUGUGGCGGAAGAGAGUGGUCUGACAUACCCCCCACCACACAGUAACUCGAAGACCACAGGGAUGCUGCCUAAAUUCUCGACACCCAAGCGUGAUCCAGAUCCUGAAGGCGAGGCCGGGGCAGGAAGGAAAUCUCAAGAGUCACCAGGCAGAGCCCAGGGGGUUUUGACAUCUCGGCUCUGUGGUCCCUCACCUCCAAUGCCACCUCCAUAGUCUCUGUAGAGGGGACGUUGGCUGUUGUGGGAUCCCAGCCAGAGGGCGGAGGUGGGCGGGAAUGGGCGGGGGCUAGGAGAGGAGGACGUUUAGUCCUCCAUAGCCUUUCCUCUGGUGCGACAGGGAGGGAGGAGACUGUGUGUGCCGGGGGAGAGGCUGAUGCCUCUGGAGGCCACGGCAGCCUCCUCUGGGCUCAAGCUCCAUGGAGCAUGUGGUCCCCACUCUGUCUGCAGCUCGACUGGCCAGGUUGGUGCCCUAUGCUGGGUUAUGAAGAUGGGAGGUGUGUGUGUGCAUGUAAAGGAAAGAGAGAGGAGGGAGGGAAUGAUCCAGAGAGGGGGGCAGGAGAGAAUAAGGAGGGAAGAAAUGAGGAGGAGAGAAUGUAGGAGAAGGGAGAAGGUAAAGGAGGGAGAGAAAACAGAGAAAGGACAUCCCUUUCUGUGCUAUGUUCUUUCCCUGCUUCUUGCCAAGGAGAAGGGACCUGCCCCGCGUCCCACAGUUGGGUGGGGGCAGAGUGGCAGACUCCAUCAGCUACACGUCUGAUCUUUUUCAUCUUCUGCUAGAGGGAGUGCUGGUGAUGGGACCCAGUCAUUGCUAUUCUGUUCAGGAAGCUGGAUGCUGCAGGCUCACGUGGGAGCCAUCUUCCAGCCCCCUGGUCCCAAAGCCACCAGCUGGGCAGCCUGGCAGCCCUGGCUGUGACACUGAAGCCCCCUGUGCUUGGUCCUCGGGCCCAGGAGGGGCUGAGCAGUGGGUAUCAUCCUCGCUAGCUGCACCAUCCCUGCCGGGAGCCCUGAGAGCAGAUGAGAAUCUGGUGAUGCUGGAGUCUUGGUGGGGGGCCGUCAACUUCCUGCAGCGUGUUCACCGGCUGCAGAAGCUCGUGUCAGAUACGGGCGCAACGUUUAACUGGUCUGGCUGCGUGGAAGUCAGCUGCCCUGUAGGCGACACAACCGCCUUCAUUUCUAGCAGGGCUCGAGGGUCAGGAGCCAGCCCGGUGCUGUGGGAAGAGCAGGAUCCAGAGACAGGCAGAGCUGUGGCACCUUCCAGCUCCGCAGGUCCCGUCACCUCCCUGAGCCCCAGCUUCCUCAUUUGUCAAAUGGGGAUGAUCCUAGUGGAGGUGCGUUUGCUGACAUGUAUGAAAAACUUACUGUUCCAAAUGCUUUGGGCAUUAACUCUAAUUUAUCCUCAUAACAGACUGUUCCGGUUUUCUAUUUCUGUGAAACUUAGUGGCUUAAAAUGUCAACUGAUCAUUAUGUGUCCCACUUCUGUGGCUUGGCUGGGCUCAGCUGGGCGCUCCUGGCUUGAGGUCUCUCAUGCAGUCGUGGGUCAGGGGCAGCUGGAGCUGGAAUCAUCUGAAGGCUCGACUGGGCUGGGUGUCCAAGGGGCGUCUUCACUCACAGACCCAGCACCAUGGUGCCUCUCUCUCCACGGGGCCUCAGCCACCAGGACCCUUCCACGUGACUUGGGCUUCUCACUGCGUGGGGUGUAUUCAUUUUUCUGUUGCUGCUGUAACAAAUGACCACAAAUUUAGCAGUUCAAAAAAAAAAUACACACUGAUUGUGUCACAGUCUGGAGGCCAGAAGGACAGCGUGGCUCACUGGGUCCUUUGCUCAGAGUCUCAGGAAGCCAAAAUCAAGCUGUGAGUGGGGCUGUGUUCCUUUCUGGAAGCUCUGAGAAUGAACCCACUUCAAGCUCAUUCAGGUUGCUGGCUGAAUGCAGGAACCUGUGGUUGUCGGAGUGGGGUCCUCGUUUCCACCCAGGUACUGGUCUUUGCUCCCAGAGGCUGCCCACAUUCCCUCUCCGGUUCUCCAGGUGGCUCCUUCCAGCAACAGCAGGAUGAGUCUCUUUCAUGCUUUGAGUCUCUCUGACUUCUCCUUCUGCUGCAUCUCUCUGCCUCCAGUCAGAGGAAGCUCUCUGCUUUUAAGGGCUCAUGUGACAGCUGGGGCCCACGGGGUGAUCCAGGAUAAUCUGAUCUUAAGGUCCAUAGCUGUAAUCACAUCUGGAAAGCCCCUUUUGCUCUAUAAAGUAACAUCCUCACAGGUUCCUGGACCUCUUUAGGGGGCCAUUCUGUCUGCCGCAGGUGGUCUCAAGGGAGUUCUGUGCUGCCAGGCCGGUGAAAGGCUAUGCCCGUAUCUGGCCUAGGGUCCCUCCUGCUGAGGUCUGUUGGGCAAAGCACGACCGACCCCACCCCGACUGAACGGGGUGGAGAAACAGACCCCACACUGUGGGAGAACAUGUGGCAGGGGAAAUGUUGUUGGGACCAUCUUUAGAACAUCAAAUCUGCCACACCACCCUAGCUCAUUCUCAUCUCCUUUUACAAAUGAGGAAACGGAGGCACAGAGGAGUUACGUAACUUGCCUACAAUCCAACAGCCGGUAUCUGACGGUCAGGAGUUGGAGCGAGCAGGUGGCUCCAGGCCCUGCCCUCUUAUCCAUCAGCCAGAUCCGAAUGCCCGUGAUGAUCUGAGUGCCGCGCCGGCCCGGGCAGGUAGCCGUGAGCAGCCCGGGUCUUCGUUAGCGUCUACAGUCAGCCUGUUGCUGAUUCCCGGUCCGACCACCUUCCAGCCGCGUGACCUAGAGUGAGGCAGGCACAGCCGCUUCCCUCGGAGAGGGGACAGUAUUGUGGCUGAAGCGGACCAUUAACAGCUGAUAGCAUUGCGGGAUGAUGAGCAUUUGGGGGGGGCGUGGUGUAAGGGAGCCCUGGGGGGUCUAGCAGGAGGCCUAACCCGCUCCAGAGGGAGGAGACGGCCUCCUGGGGAAAAGCCAACCUGAGGCCUUAAGGAAGAGAGUCACCGAGAGGAGAAAUGGCAGGAAGUCCAGGGUUUGGGCCAAGAAGAGCAUGAAUGUGUAAAGGUCUGACAUCUGAGAAAACGUGGCGCCUUUCCUCUGGGAUCAUUCAUUUGGGGCACAGCAGGGGCAGUGGGUUGAAUAGUGUCUCCCUUGUCCCUGUACCGAAUUCACGUCCACCCAGAACCCAGAACGUGACCUUAUUUUGGAAUGAGGGUCUUUGCAGAUGUAAUUAGUUGAGAGUCUCGAGAUGAUGUCCUACUGGAUUAGGAUGGGCCCUAAAUUGGAUGACUGAUGUCCUUAUACGAGACAGGAGGGGACCCGAGACAGACACAGAGACCCUCAGGGGAGAAGACGGUGUGAAGAUGGAGACAGAGGUUGCAAUGAUGCAUCCAAAAGCCAAGGAACGCCCAAGGAUUUCCGCAGCCACAGGAAGCCAGGAGAGAGGCAGGGACCGGAUGCUCCCUCAGAUGCCCCACGAGUGACCGAACCUGCCAUUCACCUUGAUUUCAGGCUUCUCGCCUCCAGAACUGUGCGGGAACACGUUUCUGUUGUUUUCAGCUACUAAACUGUGGUAAUCUGUCACAGCAGCCCUAGGAAACCAAUACGGCCCAGCAGGAGGCCACGGGCUCCAGGCCGUGUCGGGGAGAGGUGACAGGACCCACGGGGGUUUGCCUAUGAGAGGCGUUCUCCAAGGCAAGUCAUUGCUAUCAGGAGGCAUUAGCGAACCUUGGAAAAGCAGUCUAUCCCUGGUCAGUAAACUCCCAGAUGCCAGAACAUCAAGAAUACAGAAAAUAAGAAAAUAUAGUGUUAUGCAAGGUACGAAGGAUCACACCCAAUUUGUCCAUGAGAUAACCAUGAAUCCAAGAAGGGGCAUAAUUUCUCCAGGGUGACACAGCUAGUAAAUGAAGGUGCUGGGUCAAAUUUCAAGCCAGGUCAAAUAAAUCUUUAUUGAUAGAAAGAAAGAAAGAAAGAAAGAAAGAAAGNNNNNNNNNNNNNNNNNNNNAGGAGUGUUUGGAUCCGAUUACCUGCUCUUUGGCAAGCGGUAGGAUUAAUGCCAUGGCUAUUUUGGCCACAGAUGCCUCUGGUUUGGUUACCUACCUUGCCGACUCAUUAGCAGAGAUUCACAAUGCCUGGUUUAUUUUGCUAGUCUGAGCUAGGCUGGGGCCUUUGGGCUGGGAACACUUUGCUUAUGUACCUUUUUAUAUGUUUUUUGGGUCCUUGGACACAUUCCCCAAAAUGUUGGUUGUUUCAUUAAUGUCUCAGUGGAGUAAUCAUAAUCACAAACAUCGAUAUUAUUUAUUGAGCUUCUACUCUGUGCCACGUGCUUUGGACUGAUCAUCUCAACAGUCCUGCGUGGUGGCACAAGGAUCCCUAUAGUAAUAAUGAUAAUAAUAAUGACAACAGCAACAAUGGCGCUAACAACAAUAACAGUAAGAGGAAACAUUUCUCGAGUGUUAGUCACUAGGUGGCGGGCACUGGCCGCUGUGAUGUGAGCACUGUUGUUAUGCCAUGCCCAUGUGGAUGUUUGGGCUGAAUCUCAGAGACUUCCCAGCAUUUCUGACCUCCGGAAGGAGAUGGCGCAGUGUUUUGCUGAAAGAGCAUGGGCCCAUCCUCCUUCCAUCUUCCCAGAGGGCGGGAGAGGGCCGCCCGCCCACAGGCCUCAGAUUGGAAGGUAUGAAGAAAGUUCACACAGUUCUGGAGGGCAGCCCCCAAGUAGUGCCCACUCGGAUCAGAAGGUGCCCAGGCUCAGGGCAGAGUGCUCGAAAUUGCUAAUAACAGCCAAAUGGCCUUCCUGCAUUAAUCGCCAUGUUCUCGGCCCUUGGGACUGGAGGUGAGCUGGGGGCUCUUGAGAGAAAUGCUACUCUCUGUCUCUCUCAUCCACAGCACCCCACCCCCGGCCUGCCCCCAGCUCUGCUGUUCCCCAAGGAGACGGCUGGCCACAGACUGCCUCCCCCAACUCCUGCCCUGAGGGUGACACCUCGGCAGGAUAUUGGGGUGGGGGGAAGGGCUGGUAUCCACUCCUCCCCCCACCAAUCCCAUUCCAUUUACUAGUAAAACACUCCUGCAUCAGCACUAAAUUUUGAUUAAAAAAAUAGAGAAACUGCUGAUGCCCCCAUCCUGAGAUGAUGAUUCUUUCCACUUCUCUGCCUCCCCCUCCAGUCUUUGGCCAGGUAAUAGAGAACCCAGCUUGAACAGAGCCUGUCCUGUUUGCCAACGGGUAAGCACGCGGGUCCUGGAGCCCAGCUGGGCACGGAGCCUGCCUCUGCCGCUUUGUAGCUGUGGGACUCUUGGCAAGUCGCUGAUCCUCUCUGAGCCUCAGUUUCCUCAUCUGUAACAUGGGGUAACAACAUUGCCAACCUCAGAGGAAGAUGGGUGCGGAUGUUAGCUCAGGGCUGGUCUUCCUCAGCAAAAAGAGGAGGAUUAGCAGCAGUUAGCUCAGGGUUAACCUUCCUCAAAAAGCAAAAAGCAAAAAACAAAACAAACAAAACAACAACAACAAAGAUCGCCAACCUCGGACGGUUGUCGUAAAGAUUAAAUGAGACAGUAAUCAGAGCUGUAGCGUGGUGCCUGGUGGGGAGCCGAGGUCCUCGAGCGGGGGCUCUUGGUUCAUGGGUGGUUCCUAUCCCCUCACUCAGGGCUCCUUGAGCCGCCACAGGGCCCCCCUCCCCGCCGAGUCAACUCCACCUUGUCCGUUAGAUCUCAGUUCAAACAUCACCUCCUCAGGGAGGACCCCCUGCACCUCUGGUCUGGGCCGCCCUCUUUGUUAGAGCUGCUCAUUUGCCUUCUGUCUUCACAGCAGAAGCAAGAUGUGUCCCCAAGUCUGAGGGGACGCCUGCCUGGCUGGGUCGCUGCAGCUUGCAUCCAGGGCCCGUCAUCUGGGCUUUUGCAGCAUCCGCACCGGGCGGAGAGGCGUCCCAAAUGGGCCCAAGUGGACCACUUGUCGCAGCUGACCGCAGAGGGGGUGAAGCCAGCCCUGCUCCCCAACCCUCGGGUGGGCACAAUCUUGGGCCCACUUGGAGACUGAAGGCAGGCAUCUUGGGGGCUUGGGGAGGGGCGAGGGGGAAGAGAGACAUUUCCCUUGCUGGCGAUGUCAGCUUCUUCUGCCUUGCCAGGACCGAGUCUCAAAGGAUGAAGACUCCUGGGUGCACUUUAUCCCCUCCCUCCAGGCCUGGGACACUGGGCUCACUGGCGAAGGCUCAGGAGGGCCUAGGAUGCUCCUGGGACGGACUUCCCAGGGACCGGCUCUGCUUGGUGAUUGAUGAUAAUGACACCAGUUGGAACCAAACGCAUAUUACCCUGUUGGUAAAUUUCAUUUGCAAGAUCUGCUUCUCCCGCGGUCCCUCCGGGAGCACAACACUUCAGUGUUUUAAGUCUCUAUUAGCUAAAUUUUGCAAACUGGCCUCAGCUGGAUCACAACAAACCCGAGCUAUCCAGGUUUCUGGGGACACAUUCAUUCCAGCCUCCUUUUGGCUGGCCUGUGAGAUAGUCAAGGGUCGAGGUUGUGGCCUCGGAGAGAGGAGAGCUGGGUUCAAAUCUUGGCUGUUCCAUUUCCCAGCCGUGUGGCCUUGGACAGAUGACUUCAUGUCUCUGAGCCUCAUCUUGCUCAUCUAUAAAAUGGGAGCAAUAACAUUCAGAGGAGGGGGAGUGAGGUGAGGAUGCUUGUUCUCCUGUGACCUCUUCGCAGGGUCAGUCAGGGUCAAGUGGACCUCUUGAUUGAAGGUCACAGCUCCCAUCCCACAGCCCUCUUCUUACAACUUUCUCUGUCUCCAGAUUCUGGUAACUGCUUCCUCCUCCUCAUCCCAGGAUUAGCUUUCAAAACUAACUUCAUCUUUCCCAUCCUCUCGUCCUCCUUGUCCCUUAGGCUCUGUUUUCCCCCACCCCUGCUGGGACUUAGCAUCUUUCUCUGCAGGGCCUCAAUUCUUGCCACUGUGAAUAAUUCCUUCCUCUGAACCCACUUCCUGAAGUAUCAGCUGAUAACAGAUUCCAGCAGGGGUUCUCCCUCUGGGGUCCAGGGGUUGUGCGGAAUUUUGCAUCUGUCUGCAUUUGUCCAGUAAGAGAGUUCAUGGCUUUCCUUCCUUCCACCCCCUACAUUCUCAAUCAGAAAAAGUUCAGAACCAUUGGGUAUCUGGUACCUGUCAUUUCUCCCAGGAUCACUGGAUUUUACAGAUGGAUUUUGAAUAGCCAAAUGCAUGAUGGGGGGAAUCGUGGUGGAAUUAUUAUAUGGGUUGCAAAGAUAACAGGGCCUGGGGCAGCCUGGAGCUUCCUCAGCUGGCCCUACACAGACCAUGCUGUGCUAAUGCUGCUUAAUGGACAGCUUGCUGAUUUUAUGAUCCCAAAGUGGGAAAACAAAGCCUGGGAGAUUCACGUAGGAUUAGAAAGAGGCCAGAUUUCUUAUUCUCUAAGACUUUUUCAGAGUGAAGGAGAAAGGAAAAUACUAAUAAAAGAUGACAUGCAAAAUUAAAUGGACCGGAGAACAGAUAACAAAAUAAAUCUCGUGCCCAAGGAGUGUGGCUGGCUGAUGUUGGCGGGAGAAUAUUUAAGAGGGGAAGAAAUGGAUAAAAGAAAGAAAAAGGAGAGUUUCUCCCUCUUUUCUGGCAGUGAUCCAGUCUCUAUCUUUAGGAAUUGGACAGCAGAGCGCGCAUGGCCGUGUUUCUUAGCAACCUCAGGUGGUCCAGCAUCAGGGGGAGGUAAAUCUUUGGGGGAUGGAAUUCUUUUCCUUUUUUCAUUCUCUUCUUUUCCUCCUCCCUCUCUGCUCUCUGUUUCUGUUCUCUGUCUGUCUUUAUUAAGCUCUGACAAGAUGCUGGGUGUGGCGGUAGGUGCUUUUACCAACAUUGUCUCAGAUUUGCAACUUGCCGGCGAUGUGACCUUGGACAUAAGAUUGUUCCUUCCUUGGUGGAGCGGUUGCCGAGCUUGCACGAAAUGAUACAUCUAAAGCCAUCUGUGUCUGGGAGCAGAAGUCAAUUAAUAAAUGUUACUUCUCCCCCUUUCUCCUUGUAACAAAGUUGGCCAGCCCCUAAUGCAUCUAAUUAAUAACUGUGCAUUUUAAAGAUACUGACACAGCGAAGAAGAAACUGUGGCUUCUUUUCUUGCCCAGAGGAGGGAACCUGGACGUAAAGGGGCUGAAGUUGCAUGUUUUGAAAUGUGAAGGUGGGCCCUUGAUUCUUGUUUUAAGGUGUGGAGUAGGCAGAGAUGGUUUUGAUAUGCAAAUAUGCAUUGUGUUGCCAUGACAAAGAUGUUGCAAGGAAAUAGAAAAUCACAGAACCUCAAAGCCCAGAACCGAUUUUCAAGCAAAGUAACCUCAUUUUCUAAGCCCAAAUUGGGACGGAGGGUCAGAAGGGUGCAGGUGUUCUUAUGGGGACAGCAGGACAAAGCCAUAUUGUUGAGAGUUUGAGAUGCUUUCUUUUAAACUUUUUAACAUAGCUGAAAUUAGAAUGCCUUUUGUGUGUGUGCUCAAUGUAGUUUUUUUCUUCUUCUAAGUCCAGGAAAGCUGUUAUUAUACACAAUGUGCCUCUUACAAGCGAUGGUAUCUCAAAAUCAAGCAAAUGUGGUUUUGAAAUUAGAACCCGAAUCAACGAUCAGUCCAAAGUGAGAGCUCCUUGUUCUCUUCUGUGCUGUGAAGAGGGUAGACCAGUUGAUCACCCGUCUAACACUGGUGUGCCGGGAGGUGCCGGCGCCCCAGCUACCCCCAGCAUCUGCCUCCAUCUUCUUGUGCUUCCAUCCUGAGGGCCCUUUGGGGUAAAGCAUGAUCUGCCUGUGCUUGGGGAAGGCUAGAAGCACCAGGGAGUUAAUACUCCUGGAAACAGCCCUCAGCCAACACGGCCAGAGAGUUGGUGGAAUACAUGGAAGAUCGCUCGCCCUUUAAAGGGAAGCUGCAAGGUAUGUUCUCCCCCGUCCUGCCCAGAGUUCCCCGUGGUCCUGAGCUCCAGUUUGCACGCAGGGCAUCUUGCUUGUUAACACAUCCUUGGCUGCCCGUCCCUCCUUCCCUGUCUCACUUUCCUCUUCCUCCUGCUGAUGUAUCUGGGAUCCCCUCCCAAAGAAAUGAAUUGCACCAGAAACCUCGUGUGAUGCUUAAUUUUCUGCAUCAACUUUGCUGGGCCACCAGAUGCCCAGAGAACUGGUAAAACAUUAUUUCUGGGUGUGCCCGUGAGGGUGUUUCCAGAAGCGAAUGGCAUUUUAAUUGGUAGACUGAGUAAAGCAGAUUGCCCUUACCACUGUGGGUGGACGCCAUCCAAUCUGUGGAGGGCCAGAAUAGAACGGAAAGGCAGGGGAAGGAGAAUUGACUGCCUGACUGUUGAGCUGGAACGUUGCUGAACUGCUGGCCUCUGUGCUCGUGGUCCUUAGGCCUUCAGACCUGGCCUGGAAUCUAACCACUGGCUCCCCGGCUCCUGGGCCUUCAGAAUACACACACUGGCAUCCCUGAGCCUCCAGCUUGUAGAUGAAAGAUGGUGGGACUUCGUCUCCAUCAUCAUGUGAGCCAAUACCUUAUGACAAAUAUAUGGAUCCUGUGGUUCCCUUCUCUAGAGAACCCUAAUACACCUUGUCUCGGAGUCUGCUGCUGGGGACCCCAGCCUGAGACCGCUGGCCAUCUGUGACUUCAUGGGGGCCUCUCUACUGGGGGGACAGGUACCGUGAAGCCUGUCCCCAGGGUAUCUUGUCAAUAUUGAAGCAGCUGGGCAGCCGUGGAGCAGGAAAAGGAGAACUGCCUUGAAAGCCAGAUGACUCCGCUCAAAUGCCAGCAUUGCCUCUCACCACCUGUGCGAGCUCGGGCACCAUCUGAAUCCUGCUAAAGCCUCAGUUUCCCCAUCUGUAAAAUGAAAGAAGUAAUCUUUCCUACGAGGCUGGAGCGAAGCUCAGAAAAUAGUCUGCUUGUAUGUGAAAGGACUUUGUAAAUUGAUAAACCACGUGCAUCAGUAUUCUUGUAAUUGAGAGGGAGGAUGACUCAGGAGAAAAACACAGACUUUGGGGUCUUGACUCAGCUUGAUUCAGACCCCUGACCUGCUGCAUCUCAUCCACACUCUUGAUCAACUAACAGAAGUGCUUUGAGGCUUGUUUCCUCAUCUGCCAAAUGGAUGUAUUCAUGAGGGGACUAAGCAUGUAUUAGUGAGGGUACAAAGCUGUAACAAAGAGGCCCCUGAAUAGUAUAUAGAAGUCUAUUUUCUCUCUCACCCAGGGGGCUUAGCAUGAGCGCUCCAAGGCUGGCAUCUCUACUCCACCGUCAUCCAGGGACCCAGCUUCCCUCCACUUUGCUGCUCUGCCAACAUCAGCAUGGCAAAGCGGGCUCACCCGCAAGACACCAUGGAACGGGGACUAGCCAUCACUUUCCAUGUGAUAUGGAAGCUUCACAUGUUCCCUCUGUUUAUUUCCCACAGGUUAGAUUGUCACAUGGUUGCACCUUGUUGCAAGGGAGGCUGGGAAAUCCUACCUCUUCCUGGGCUCCAAGGCUAUGCAUCUUGUUAAAAUUUGGAGGGGUCUCUAUUACUAAGAGGAAAAGAAAAGAUGCCAAGAGGCAACUAGCAAUUUCUGCAAGAGGGGUAAUUUCUACCACACUGGGUUGUUGUGAAGCUUAAAUGAGAUCCUGUCUGCCAAGAGCCAGCACAGAACAUGUCCUUAAUAAUUUAGUCCCUGUUUGUCUUUAUCGCUACAGCAGCAGACCAGAGGUACUGGAGCCUGAGGAUAAGCUGAGGUGGGGCAUCUGGUAAUGAGCCAGGACCCCUUCAGAGGCCCUUUGCCGAGCCAGCGCCUCCUUGCUUCCCUGAUCUGAGGGGGGCUGACCCGUCCCUGUGCUCUCCUCCCUGAGCAUCCCGGCCCUGGCUCCCCAAAGCCCACCUUGGUGAGGGAAUCUGGUUUCCCGUCAUGACUGGGCAGGCGGUGGACCAUUACCGGAGGAAUUCGAAAUUGGCUGGGCCCACCCUGCAGAAGACCCCAAUCUCCAAUCCAGCUCACCUUUCAGGAUCUCCAGAGGGGCUUUCCAGCCCACCUGUGCGAGUGACGUUCCACCCGGAGGGGGCAUUCGUCCGUGGGGUGGUCCGAAGGAGAGCGGAAGAAACCCAGACAGGAGCGGGAUAUAGUGAAUGAGAAUGAGCCCACGGACAGGCUCUGAAUUCCGCUCCUUCCUCUGCUUUGGACUUGCUGUGUGACUUGAAGCAUGUCUUUGUGCCUCUGGUCUCCCCUUGCCACAUCUUUCUCUGGUUUUCUAGAGUCUAAGGCAGACCAACCAGCGGGUGUGCGUUCGCCUCACCCGGCCUGGUGUUUCUGGGCUUUAUUUGGGAGGGAAAAUUCAUAUUUGGGUUCAGUUUAGCUUGGGACUUAGGAAAGAGGUCCAGUAGUCAUUCGUUUUAGUGGUGUUUAUUGAGCACCUGCUGUGUACCAGGCCCCACCACCCUGGGCUCAAGGAGCUCACGGGGAGAGGUGGCGGAGAAGAGCAUGAGCAUCCAAGCAGAUGAUGACAACGCAGUCCAAUGACCAUGGAGGGAGAACUGAGGACGUCAGGGCUGACUAUGCCCAAAGACUUCGGAAAAGAGGCUGCGGUUUUUGAAUAAUCAAAGGUGCUGAUAUUUACUGAGUCGUUAGCACGUGCCAGACUCUGUGCCGAGGGAUUUGCAUGCAGUAUCUCGCCAGUCUUCCCUUUAGCCCUAGGAGGUAGGUUCAACUAUUCACACCCGUUUAUAGAUGAGAAAGCUGAGGCUCAGAGAGGUUAAGUAACUUGCAUCAGACCACACAGCUAGGAAGAGGCAGAGUUGCAGGCUUGUUGUCAGCAUACUGCAGUUCCAUAGCCAAAUCCUGGCCCAUGGCCUGUUUUUGUAAACAAAGUUUUACUGGAACCUAGACACACUCACUCAUUUACAUGUUAUCUGUGACAGAGCUGAUUAGUUGUUACGAGACCAAAUGACCUGCAAAGCUGAAAAUAUUUACCGUCUGAUCUUUUACAGAAAAACUUUGAGCCCUGCUUUAUUACAUUGUCAUUUAAUUGUCACAACAACCUGGUUAUCGCCCCCCUUAUACCAGGUGGGGAAACUGAGGCACGGGGAGGCAAAGUUGCUUGUCCAUGGUCCCACAGCAGAGCUGCGAUUAGCACUCUGGCUGGGGCCCCGAGGCUUUGUCCCUAACCACUCUGCCCACUGUCCUUCCAGUCCUAAGCGAGGACUGCUCCUUAUGUUUAAUUUUCGCAUCUCGUUCAGCGUGAGGAAGAGAAAAGGUACUUGUUGGAACUGGCUACAAGCAGGUGUCAAAAUAUUUUCUGUGGCCCCAGAGAUGUGCAUUGGGAAGGAAAAUCACGCGGACCGGAGCUUUCAAUAUUUUUCUUUGUGGUGACCACAUAACGAGGGCUUUGGCAGCUGGCCCAAAAUGGUCCAUCCGCCGCAGGCUGUGGGGACGGGCUGGAAAAGCAGAUAAUAAUAGUCCUGAGUUUAUGGGGUUGCUGCAAGGACUCAAUGAGGUAAUAUGUGCAAAGUGCCAGAACUGUGGCUGACACCUAGUCAGGUCCACAUACGCAUUGGCUAUUUUGUCCUCAAGAGCUGUUCCCAAGGAAUAUUCUUUUUUCUUUCUUUUUUUUUUGAGGAAGAUCAGCCCUGAGCUAACGUCUGCUGCCCAUCCUCCUCUUUUUGCUGAGGAAGACUGGCCCUGAGCUAACAUCCAUGCCCAUCUUCCUCUACUUUGUAUGUGGGACGUCUGCCACAGCAUGGCUUGAUGAGUGGUGCCAUGUCCACACCUGGGAUCCGAACCGGCGAACCCCAGACCACCAAAGCAGAAAGUGCGAACUUAACCACUGCACCACCAGCUCGGCCUCCCAAGGAAUAUUCUUAAUACAUGGCAAUAUCUGAUUCUCUCACUAGCUUCUCUCUCAGCUCUAGGUCUUGUGUGGCUGUUCUCCCUGCCUGGACUCUCUCACCUGUAAGCUGAGACUGGUGUCUACCCAGCUCUCCUCGGUCGUGCAGCCUCAGAUCUGGGGUGGGGGUCUGCAUGGAUGCUGUCUGACGCUCCUCCCUCUAGGCUGUGCGUGCACGCUCCCCUCCAUCAUAAAUGUCCCUCCACCUGCCUGCCUUCCUCUCUGGGCUGUGAGCUCUCGCAGGGCACAGGCUGUGUUGUAUUCAGUGCCGUGGAGCAGAGGUUGAAGUUAGAGAGAGUCUGAGUGUGAGGAGGAUGUGAUGUACUGGUUCUGAGAUGGAGGGGCCCACAUGCAAUGACCAGAGAGGGGCCUCGAGGAGCUGAGGGUGCCCCCAGCUGACAGCCAGCAAUAAAACGGAGACCUCAGUCCUACAACCACAGGAACUGGAUUCUGCCUGCGACCUGAAUGUACUUGGAAGCAGUCACCCCAGGGCCUCCAGAUGCAUAUGCAGCCCUGCUCAUGCCUGCAUUUUAGCCCACUGAGGCCUGGAGCUGAGAAUGUGGCCACGCUACGCUAGACUCUUGACCCAUUGGAACUGUGACGCAAUAAAUUUGUGUUACUUUAAGCUGCUAAGUUUGCGGUGAUUUGGUAUGGCAGCAACAAAGAACAAUUGGACUCUGUGGAUGCCCAGAUGACAAUUUUUGGAAUGAGCAGAUAACCACAGAUUCUGUCUUCUGAGGGUAUUAGCUCUGUGCUUGGGUCUCCCUAGGCUCCUGAAACGCACGGACUCUCCCACUCUCCCAGCGAUUCUGCGGGUUACAUGCUAUUAUUAUCCCCACUCUAGAGAUAGGCAAACUGAGGCCCAGAGAGGUUGGCUUACUUGCCUAGGGUUGCACAGCUGGCAAGUGGCAGAGGUGGGACUUUGGGCCAUCUUGCUCGAAGCUUCUCAUGUCACCACUACACCACACUAUCUUUCUGGCACUAUUUGGAGAUCCUGCCCAUUAUGUUCAUUUUUCAAAUUCUUGCCAUGUCCUCCCAUGGUCUUUCCUCUGUGUGUGAGCAUCCCUGGUGUCUGUCUCUCUUUGGAUGAGGACAUCCCUCCUAUCGGAUUGGGGCCACACCGUUAUGACCUCACUUAACGUUAAUCUCCUCCUUAAAGCCUCGGUCUGCACAUAAGUGACAUUGGGGGUUAGAGCUGCAACACCGGAAUUUUGUGGGAAUGCCUUUCAGUCCAUAACACCUGGCUAAUGCUUGUUCAUUUGUCCAGACUUCGACUUGGGGUCACCACCUCCAGAGAGCCUUGUUGACCUCUCCCCUCCUCCAAGUGGGGCCUGAUACAUGGGAUGUUUUUCUCUCAGGGCCUCCGAAGCUCCUUGGCCUUAUCUGUCUUUCUCCCCAGGCCCCCAGCUCCCUGAGGAGUGGAGGAGGUCAUCGAGAGGAUGUGACCGCCGGGGGACCCUUGAGCUGGACCCAGGCAAUGGGAGGCUCCUCGCCCCUCUGCUCUCCUUGGAUGGUGCAUUCUGCUUGCCUUCUUGGCACUAGAAGCUGCCUUGAGGACACAGCCUUGAAAUAGUAACGUGUUGCUGAGACCAUCCAGACAGUGCACGUGACCAAACCCCAUCAAGUCCUCUAUAUAAACCUGGAAGAUCCUGGUGGGUGGAUGCAGAGACCUAUUCGUCUGGCAGCGCCCAAGACAAGCCUUGUGUGGAAGUUUCCUUGCUGGUUACACUUGCCGCCCACUGGUCUGGAGUGGGCUGCCUCUUUCUUCAGUCUCUCCUCGCCCUCCGUGUACAGGGCCAGUUUGCAAACCAACAUGAGGGCAGGGGCUAGAGUUCAGGCAUUUUGUGCCUCCCCUGUCAGUGCCAGGACCUGGGUCUGAAGACGUGAUAGUGGCCAACAGGUGUCAAGUUCUCAGUAUGCGCCCGGCAUUCCACUACAGCGGCACUGUCCCUUACGGUAGCCAUGAGCCACACGUGGCCGCUGAGUCCUUGAAACAGGCGCUGAGGGCCUGAGGAAAGGAUGGCCGCACUUUCAUAUGCUCGGAUGGAACAAAGUGCAAGCGGGAGAGCUGAGUUAAUGGGUGGAAAUCACUUUGCACGGUGUCUGGCAUGUGAUAAACACUUGGCAAAUGUGGGCUAUCAUACCUCGUGAGCAAUGAAAGCAGUUCCUGCCUGGGGUAAUAGUGUUGGAUACCUGCACUGUUUUGAACGGCAGCCCCCGCAAAGGAUGUGUCCACCCUGAACCAGUGAAUGUGAACCUUAUUUGGAAAAGGAUCUUUGCAGAGAUAAUUCAAUUAAGGAUCCUGAGAGGAGAUCCUCCUGGGUUCUCUGGGUGGCCCCCAAUCCGAGUGGUGGAUUUAAAAGGGGAGAAGACACAGACAGAGGGGAGAAGAUACAGAAGAGAGGCUCAUGUGAUGAUGGACGCAGAGAUGGAGCGAUGCAGACACAUCCAAGCUAAAGAUCUCCAAAGAUGGCAGCAGCCAGCAGAUGCUAAGAGAGAAGCAGGGGACGGGUGCUCCCUCACAGUCCUUUGAAGGAGCCAGCCCUGCCAAUGCCUUCCUUUUGGACUUCUGGCCUCCAGAACUGGGAGAGAAUAAACUUCUGUUGUUUUCAGCUGCCCAGUUUGUGAUAAUUUGUUACCGCAGCAACAGGUAACUAACAAAAUACCCCAUUUGGAUGGUGUACUUUUCCUUUCAAAUAAAUCUCACUUCUUGCUCAGCCUGGGGUGUUUUGCUCAGUGUCACUCACUGUCCUACAGGGGUAGAUGUGUGUUUAACUUUAUGAGAAACUGAAAGCUAGGUCCAUUAAUUACCCCCUCUUUGUAGAUGAGGAAUCUGAAGCACAGAGAAGUUGAGUGGGAUGUCUGAGGUCACAUAGCCAGUAAGUGUCAGAGACAGGAUUUGAAUCCGGCAGUCUGGCUUCAAAGUUCACGCUGUUAACCACUUCAGAAUGCUGCGUCUCACCCCUCAGGGCCCUCAGCAGUGGGAGAUUUCACAAGCCUGCUUGGGCUGGUCACAGUUCCCCUUGGUCCUGCUUUUUCUGUGGAGGAUCAAUGGCCUCUUCCUCCCUCCCCCAAAGCCCGGCUCUCCACACUCACUCCCACCCCUCCAUUGUCUCUGCCCAUUUUCCGAUCUCCUCCUUCCCGGGUGGGGAAGUCUGUCUCACACACGAAAGUAGAAAGAAGUCGGAUGAUGCCUCCCAUCUAAGCAGUCAUCCAGUCCACUCCAUCAGCAACCGGAUCUCCAUUUGCCAAACUCCUUCAUCUCCUUCUCGGUUGGAUCCCUCUUCUAGAAGGAAGGAGACAGAGACCCCAUUCCAGCCCCAAGGAUGGCCACCUCUUGCAGGGCGUUUGAAGCCAUGCUAUGGAGUUCUGCUUUUAUUCCCCAGGGCAAGGGGGGACCACUGGGCGGUUUUAGGCAAAAUUGUGAUGUUACAUUUAUUUUCAGAAAAAUCCUCUGGCUGAAGUGUAGGAAGAGUUUGGGGGCCGGAAGGGAAGGUUAAGACUGGGAGUGUGGAUCUGUUACCUGAAUCCAGGUGAAAGGUGAUUGUGCGUAAACUUGGGUGGUGGAAACUGGGAGGGAAGGAAAGGAACAGAGUCCGUGAAAAUCUAAGACAUAGAGAGGACGGGAAUUGGCUUGAUUGGAUGUGGACGGUGAUGAGAGGCAUCAAGGAUGACUUCUAAACUCUUGGCAUGGGUGACAAGGAAGACGGGUCCAUUUACAACCAAAGGAAACAAGGAGAAUGGCUUAGCCUACUAGGGCCGCCAUAGCAAAAUACCAUAGACUGGGUGGCUAGAACAACAGAAAUGUAUUUUCUCAUCGUUCUGCAGGCUGGAAGUCCAAGGUCAAGGUGCCGCCCGAUUCCUGGUGAGAGCCCUCUUCCUAGCUUGCAGAUGGCCACCCUCUUGCUGUGUCUUCUUAUGACUUUUCCUCUUUCUCUCUUCUCCUCUUCUUAUAAAGACGCUAAUCCUAUCGUGAGGGCCCCACCCUCAUGAACUCUUCUAUCCCUAAUGACCUCCCAACAAAAGGCUCCAUCACGUUGGGGUUGGGCAUCAUCAUAUGGUAUUGGGGGGGCACAAACAUUCAGUCCACGGCAGAGAGGAGCCUGGGCUGGGGAGGGAAGGUGGAUAGGAGUUUAGACUCAGUUCCUUCACUUAAAGAUAGGUGUGUAGGAGUCAGAUGAGCUGGACCAGGAGUCAGCAAACUUUCCCUGUAAAGGACCAGAGCGUAAAUUUUUUAGCCUUUGCGGGCCACGUGGUCUCUGUAACAACUCAACUCUGCUAUCAUAGUGGGAAGGCAGUCAUAGAUGAUCCAUAAAUGAAUCGACGAGGCUGUGUUCUUAGAAAACUAUUUACAAAAACAGGCAGUAGCAGAAACAACGCAGAUGUCCACCGACAGAUGAAUGGAUAAACAAAAUGUGGUCUAUCCACCCAAAGGAAUAGUAUUCAGCCAUAAAAAAUGAUUGAAUGAAGUUCUGAGACAUGCUAUGAUGUGGAGGAAUCUUGACAUCAUUAUGCUCAGUGAAAGAAGCCAGACACAAAAGGUCACAUGGCAUAUGAUUCCAUUUAUAUGAAAUAUUCAGAAUAGGCAAUUCUGUAGGAUAGAAAGUAGAUUCGUGGUUGCUGGAGGCUGGGGAUGGGAGAAUGGGGAAUGACUGUUCCCUGGGUACGGGGUCACCUUUUGGAGUUAUGAAGAUGUUUUGGAAUUACACAGAGGUGAUGGUGGUACGAGAAUGUGGAUGUCCAAAAUGCCACUGAAUUGUAACUUUAAAAUGGAUAAUUUUAUGUUAUAUUAAUUUCACCCCAAUUAAACAAAGAAAAGAGGUGGCAUGGUGGACAGGCCUGGCGGCAGCGGGUUGGAAGAAGUUAUGUUGUGGGGUCCUCCUCGCUCACCCUGGCUCCUCUCCAAGUGGAGACAGCAAAUGGUGGACUUCGAUACCUAUGACAAUUGGCCCUACAGCAGCUUUGGGGGCGGCAGAGGGUCCCGUGGCUGUGUUGGUGGCCAUGGUUCCUGUAGCUAAAAGGAUGCUGCCUCUACACAGCAUAUGUAGGAAAUCUUCCUUUUAAUACAGUUCAGGGCGACGUAGAUGCUAUCUUUAAGGAUCUCAGUGUAAGGAGUAUAUGGCUAGUCAGAGACAAAGACAGACAAAUUUAAAGGAUUCUGCUAUGUAGAAUUUGAUGCGGUGGAUUCCCUUAAGGAAGCCUUGACACAGGAUGGUGCACUGUUCGGGGAUCAGUCACUUCGUGUGGACAUUGCAGAAGGCAGAAAACAAGAUAAAUGUGGCUUAGGAUUGGGGAAAGGUGGACCAGCUGACAGAGGCUCCAGAGACGACUUCUUAGGAGGCAGGGAGUCGCCCAGGUGACUGGCAAACAGACCCCGCAAUGGGGAGUCAUUUCAGAGAUGGCCCUCCCCUGUGAGGGUCCAGCAUGGAUUUCAGAGAAUCAACAGAAGAGGAAAGGGCACAGAGGCCACGGCUCCAGCUUAAAGCUCGCACAGUUGCAACGCCCCUCGAUCGAGUGGCCAGUCCCAACUCUGCCAUCUUCGGGGGAGCCCGGCCCAGGGGUCCACGAGGAGCAAGGAUGAGCUGCCGUCGGGAGGGAAUGGGGUGUGGGGGGAUGUGGGGCGAGACCACAGCUGUCUGGCCCUGGACCGGCAGCCCCGCAGUCACCACUCCUCUCUUGACCUCUGUCCUCCUUUCUUGCAGCGGAAACACAGCGCGUGAGCGCAUGUCUGUUAACAAGUGGUCUUUAUACAUCUUCAGCUGUGUUGUCUCUCUCUAGCGCCUGUUUUGUGCUCUCUUUUUUUCCUGCCACUCCUUCCCCGUUUCCAUUCUGUCCUUUUUCCUUUUUGCUCCUUGUUUCCUUCCAGCACGUGCGUUUCUCUAGCGCAGCCAAGGCGGUCACCACGUGAGACUUCUCUGGAUGGAGGGGCUGCUUCCCGUUCUCCCGUGCUUUCUCUUUCUGCUUUAGACACACUGGCCAGGUCCGGUCGUCUCCUUUGGUUUUCUCGGCGCUUCUCUCUCGACCUGCAUGUUGAGUUCUGUGUUGCUGUGGCUUCCAAGAAAACACCAGAGAAGAAGUCACCGACUGGAGAGCAUCUCGUUUGUACUCAGCUGUGGUCAUCACCCUGAGUUUGAGGCGUCUUGUUUUCAAAGCGAGGAAGAAAGAUCUGUUGAUCCUGCAAACUCUUUCCCGUCCCUGCUACCCCCUCCCCAUGUGGAUCCUUCAAGCAGAAUAGGCUCAUCUUUCAAACAGCAAAACCCAAGAGAAGAGGAAGGGGAAACGUUGGCGAGCAGCUCACAUAGAGGGUGAAUGGAAUGCACGAUUGUGUCCACACGUUUUAUUGUUGCUCUUUCAAAACCGUGUCCAAAUUGGUCCCCGCUUUUAAACUGUCCUAUUAGAGGCUGGAUGUAGCGAACUGCCCCCUGGUUUCCUUUCCCCUGGGCAGAGGAGCUGGGGGGACGGAGGGUGUGGUGGGAGACUGUGUGGCCAGCUGGUUAGUGCAGACUGUGCUCUUGUCCACACCCCUGUGGGCUGUGUGUCCUGCGUCUCUCCCUCUGUUUAUCUGUUCCUGAUAGAAGCAACAGAAUGAGAUACUGUGCUUCCCACCCUCCCUUAAUUUCAGGAUGAAAAUGGACUAGAAUCUGGCUCUUUACUGUUUCACUUGGCGAACUGAGAAUGUCACCUUGCAGAGCUGUCAAGAACCGUAAGAUAACUGGCAGGUGGCUGUACGUCAUGAGGUCUCCCCUUUGGGACAGAGUUUCUUGUUCCCACGUACAGUGUUCAGCGCUUCAGGGCCAGGGGCUGGGGUCGUAGCUUUUGAGCUGGAACACCUGUGUGUGAACAGACUGAAUUUUUUAGCACCCAAGUCCCAGUGCGUCCCAUUGGGAGCAAUUUGGGGUCAGCUGGCAGCUUAGAGCCGGAGAGAGAAGAGACCAUGGCCAGGAUGAGUGGAGGGUGGAGGGCAGCCUGGCCCCCGCGGGGCAGCGUGCUUGGUAGCAAUUCUUCACCGGCUGGCAUCCUUGGCUUCUCUUCUUGGGUCUGUGUUACGAGGUCUCAGCAAUUCACAGAACUCUCCCUCCUUUCCUCCCUCCGCCUGUCAUCUCUGCUUCUGAAAUAAGAACCAUUUGUGUAACGCCAGUACUUAAGAAUGAUGUACAUUAUGGGGUUGUAAUCAAAGCUGAUGCUUUCAGAUGACCUACUUACAUCUUCAGGGUGGAAAGCUUAAGAACAAAACAAAUUCAUCUAAACUUCUGGGCAAUCCAGUUGACUUUUAAAGG